UACGAAGGGGGCUAGCGUUGCUCGGAAUUACUGGGCGUAAAGCGCACGUAGGCGGCUUUCUAAGUCGGGGGUGAAAUCCUGGAGCUCAACUCCAGAACUGCCCUUCGAUACUGGAGAGCUUGAGUCCGGGAGAGGUGAGUGGAACUGCGAGUGUAGAGGUGAAAUCGUAGAUAUUCGCAAGAACACCGUGGCGAAGGCGG
rnacentral:rRNA from 1 species